UUCUUCUGAAAGCUCCAACAGCCCUUUAAAAUGCUUUUUAAUAAAAUUAUUCACGUGGUCAAACCUGUCAGAUAGCAACUUGAUUUUGUUUUUCUAAAAAGCUCUUUCUCAUAAAUCCCACUAGCAUCCUGAUCUAUAGUUUUUGUUAUUAUUAUUUUCUGUUUUCACUAAGGAGGGGUUGGAGUAGAAAUACUUUUACUCUGUCGUGUUCAAACAUAAGAAAAUGAAGUAUUUUUUAAAGGCCUUCUACUGCUGAUCUCAUAGCAACAAAAUUUUGGAAACUAUAGGUUUAACCAUUGAAAGCAGUGUCAUUGUGAAAGACUUUGGGUACAGAUAAGAUAAGGAUCAGAAGCUGUGACAAUGACAGAAUUUAACCAAGGAAAGACUGCAAGGGGCAACACCUCUCUCUUGCUCAAGAAAUCAGAGAACUUUGAGGGAAAAAUUCAUAAGGAAAGAAAGGCAAAACUUGAUGAAAGGAUUAAGGAAAAGGAGUGAUUCUGAGUACUGUAAUAUUGCCUCUCCCUCUCAGAUUUUUCCUUGUUGUUUAUUUGUUUUUGUUUUGUUUUUCC
rnacentral:lncRNA from 1 species